rnacentral:rRNA from 1 species
GGGCCCGCACAAGCGGUGGAGUAUGUGGUUUAAUUCGAUGCAACGCGAAGAACCUUACCAGGGUUUGACAUCCUGCGAAUCUCUUGGAAACAGGAGAGUGCCUUCGGGAACGCAGUGACAGGUGGUGCAUGGCUGUCGUCAGCUCGUGUCGUGAGAUGUUGGGUUAAGUCCCGCAACGAGCGCAACCCACGUCUUUAGUUGCCAGCGAGUAAUGUCGGGAACUCUAAGGAUACUGCCAGUGACAAACUGGAGGAAGGCGGGGACGACGUCAAGUCAUCAUGGCCCUUACGACCAGGGCUACACACGUGCUACAAUGGUAGGUACAGAGGGCAGCUACACAGCGAUGUGAUGCGAAUCUCAAAAAGCCUAUCGUAGUCCAGAUUGGAGUCUGCAACUCGACUCCAUGAAGUAGGAAUCGCUAGUAAUCG